rnacentral:lncRNA from 1 species
ACAACAGAGAGGGGGAGUUGGGUGGGGGAGAGAAUUAGUAAAUAAGACUAGAUUGGGGAAAGAUAAGAUGGACUGAGUCUGCUGUAGUGACCAUUGAGAGUCCUGCGGGGUUCCUUGAUACUGCAUUACUUUGCCUUUAAAAUUAUCUAUUUGCCCCCGAGGUCAGAUAUUCAACCCGUUUUCUUUCAGAAUUCAGUAUUGUACACAAGAAAUAAUUAUCUUCCGUGAAGACUUAGUGAAUAAAAUGUGUAGAAACUGUGUCCGCUUUCCUAGCAGCAGUUUGGAUAUUCCUACCCAUUUCGUAAAGACUGUCUUAUCUCAGGGACAUCUGGCUCCUCUCCCUCUUUACGUGUCCCCCGUCUACUGGGCAUAUGACUACACUUUGAGAGUGUACCCAGUGCCCGAUCUGCUGGUCAUUGCAGACAAGUACGAUCCGUUCACCGUGACCAACACCGAGUGCCUCUGCAUAAACCCUGGCUCCUUUCCAAGAAGUGGAUUUGCAUUUAAAGUUUUUUACCCUUCCAGUAAGACAGUAGAAGACAGCAAACUUCAGGGCUUUUGAGACUUAUGAGACUACGUGAAUGAACUUUCUUAUUUUUAUCUUAUGUAUUUUGUAAAUUAAAUUGUAAUAAACCUAUGGUAAACCUU